CCUCUUCUUUCGCUUCGUUAGUUACGGCUGAAGCCGCUGGGUGGGGAAGAAGGUGCAAGUUAACCAGCAUCUUGCUGUUUCUUCAAAACAUACCUUUAUUAACGAUGUAGGCUAUUAAUUUCAGAUACCCUGAGGCAGUAUCGAGGUCGGGGGAAAACUCAUUUUGCAUCCAAAACAAGCCUAUCUUGAUCUGGGGAUACUGCCGGGGCGGCUGCUCCGGACACUGGCUCCUAGGGGUCCAAAUACACCGAAGUCUGUACCGAAAAGAGAAAUCACUCUGAAGAUUACAGGUUGGUUACAGGAAAAAGGAAGGCCGUUUUCCUUCCUGACAGUCUCACGUUAAGGUGCCGGAAAAAUCUAAUUUGAUGUUGAAUUCCCUAGUAACUGAGAUGAACAGGAAUUACGUCUCGAUAGUUAAAGGAUGUAUUCGGAUGUGCUUAUUCUUUGCCUUCAGUCCAAACCUCUACUGUGGAUGUAGAGUGGAAUCUCCACCCAAGAAGGUGCAACUAUUCAAUGUCAAUCCUCCAGAAAUUUCCAAAUUUUUUGCAGAGGUCAUAGUACAUCUAUAAUCAGAAAUAAUCAAUGGACUAUUAAAAAGCAAUGUUCUUGAAUCUUCAACAAUAUAAAAAUGUUAAGUAGAAAACAAAGGAUAAAGUACUAUUUUUAGCAUCGCCUUAAUUAUAUUAAAAUAUUCACUGUUUUAGAAGAAAAUACACAGCAUAUUAAUGUGCUUUUCUCUGAGAGGUUAGAUUAUUAAAGAUUCUUAUAAAUAAAUAAAUAAAUUGUGUAUAUACACACACAUAUGUAAUUUAUCUAAAUAAAAAUUAAAAGUAAGAAAUGUUUUUAAUCCAAACACAAAUAUAAACUUUGUCAUCGCAUAGGACCAGAGGAAGAGUUGAUU
rnacentral:lncRNA from 1 species